GGGAGGGAGGGAGGCCACCCUUCCAUAAAGAUUCCUCCAAGAUCACCUAUUUUAAACUUCAAUGCCUAGAUUUUAAAAAAUUAUUGGAGAGGCUUUGAAGAUGGCCCAGUGGGUCAGAGCACUUGCUCCCAAGCCUAAUGAUCUGAGCUGAUCCAGAGGCCUCAAGGCACAGAGAAGUGGGUCCUGCACAUUGUCUUUUGAUCUCCACACACAAAGUGUGUCCUCUGACCUACACACACACACACAGACACACACAGACACACACACACACACACAGACACACAGACACACACACACUGGAGAUGGAUGGAACUCAGGGCAGGUGAUCUCUGCCUCUGAGCUACAGGCCGUCCACGCCCAGAUUCUUUGUUUCAGUUGGGCUCCCCAAUGAAGGGAUGCUGUCAGUAAAUAUUUUCUUACAAGGAGGACUUUUGUGUUCCUAGUUGUUUGAGUUUCUUGAUUUUGAGAAUAUUGAUAGCCGCUCUUAGACUUGAGCGUUGUCUAGAUGUGGUGUUCACGGGUCACACUCUCUUUCCUUGUGAAUGUACACACUGCUGCAUUUUAUGCGUCAAAGAAAGCAGAAGUCUAAGGGAAAAUCGAUUUUCUUUUUCUGUUUUUGUGCGUGUAAGCGUGUGUGCAAAUGUAUGUGUGUUGGGGGUGAGUGUGCUCAGACGUGUACACGUGGAGGCCAGAGGUUAGCGCUGGCUGGCUCCCCUCGAUCUUCACCUUACUUUUUGGGGCGUGGAGCUCAGCCUCUGCAUAACUUGUUCUGAGCUUUUCCCACAGGUGCUGGGGGAAACUCAGGUCCUCAUGCAGCAGCAAGUUCCAAGCCAUCUCCCCAGCACCCCCUUUUCUGUCCUAGUGCCCAAAGGUGUUUCUUAUUCUUGGAAGUUAUUAGUUAACGAAUGUGCUGGCUAGUAUGUUGACUUGACGUAAGCACUCAUUGCUGGAGAGGAGGGAGCCUCAAUUGAGAAAAUGCCUUUAUAACACUGGGCUGUAGGCAAGCCUGUAGGACAUUUUCUUGUUUAGUGGUUGAUGCAGGAGGGCCCCGUCCAUUGCAGAUGGUUCCAUCCCUGGGCUGGUGGGCCUGGAUUCUAUAAGAAAGCAGGCUGAGCAAGCCACAGGAACAAGCUGUAGGCAGCAUCCCUCCAUGGCUUUUGCAUCAGCUCUGGCCUCCAGGUUCCUAUCCUGUUUGAGUUCCUGCCCUGACUUCCUUCAGUGAGGAAAGUGCUGUGGAAGUGUAAGCCGAAUAAACCCUUUCCUCCCCGAGUUACUUUGGUCAUGGAGGUUCAUCGCAGCAAUAGAGUCCUGGCUAAGACAUCCAAGAUGUCUUGUAUCAAAUUAUUCUAGAACGUGACAGACUCCAUGUGUCUAAAACUUUCUGCUUAUUUCAGUGACAUUACCCUCCAUUACUGGAUUUCCUCCGUUUCUUCCCUACCUUUUUUUUUUUUUUUUUUUUUGCUGCCACAAAUACCACACCUCUUACUUUAUUAUUUUUAAGUGUUUUCUUAUUAAUAACCUAACAAUAUCAUCACUAUGCUUUGAAGGGAAUUUUCUUAACAUCAUUUGCAUGGGUAACAAAGAUUAGAACUACCAUAUAUAGGUAAAGCCACAUAAUAAUCAUUUUUCUAUCUUAUUUGAUAAUUCCAGACUUGCUUCUGUCACAGGGAACCACUGACUAUUUUGUAUAUCACCAGAUUCUGUUAACGUUUAAUGAUAAAUUUUGGUCAUUGAAUUUUGUAACAAAUUCCUGGCAUAACAUACCUUAUAUUUUGGACAUAUUUUGCCAAAGCUGUUAAGAUUAGCAUGAUAAUUCAAGAUGGGCAUAAAUAAAUGGCGAUACAUGCUAUCAUUAUUAUCUUAGUCUCUUACUGAAUAUCCAUCCAGCUUUUUUUAAGAAAACAAAAACUUGGGCUGGGGAGCCAUUUUACUAUGGCUCAGCAGGUAAGAGCACUCACUAACUGCUUUUCUGGAGGUUCUGAGUUCAAAUCCCAGCAACCACAUGGUGGCUCACAACCACCCAUAAUGAGAUCUGAUGCCCUCUUCUGGUGCGUCUGAAGACAGCUACAGUGUACGUAUUUAUAAUAAUAAAUAAAUCUUUUGGCCAGAGCCAGCUGGGACUGAGCGAGCGGGGCCGACCAGAGUGAGCAGGGUUGACCAGAGUAAGCAGAGGUCCAAAAUUCAAUUCCCAAUAGCCAGAUGAAGGCUCACAACCAUCCAGUGUGUACUCAUAUACAUAAAAUAAAUAAAUAAAUCUU
rnacentral:lncRNA from 1 species